rnacentral:rRNA from 1 species
GAUGAACGCUGGCGGCGUGCCUAAUACAUGCAAGUCGAGCGAACAGAUGAGGAGCUUGCUCCUCUGACGUUAGCGGCGGACGGGUGAGUAACACGUGGAUAACCUACCUAUAAGACUGGGAUAACUUCGGGAAACCGGAGCUAAUACCGGAUAAUAUAUUGAACCGCAUGGUUCAAUAGUGAAAGACGGUUUUGCUGUCACUUAUAGAUGGAUCCGCGCCGCAUUAGCUAGUUGGUAAGGUAACGGCUUACCAAGGCAACGAUGCGUAGCCGACCUGAGAGGGUGAUCGGCCACACUGGAACUGAGACACGGUCCAGACUCCUACGGGAGGCAGCAGUAGGGAAUCUUCCGCAAUGGGCGAAAGCCUGACUGAGCAACGCCGCGUGAGUGAUGAAGGUCUUCGGAUCGUAAAACUCUGUUAUUAGGGAAGAACAAAUGUGUAAGUAACUAUGCACGUCUUGACGGUACCUAAUCAGAAAGCCACGGCUAACUACGUG